CGGAGGAUCCAAGCGUUAUCCGGAAUCAUUGGGUUUAAAGGGUCCGUAGGCGGUUUGGUAAGUCAGUGGUGAAAGCCCAUCGCUCAACGGUGGAACGGCCAUUGAUACUGCCAGACUUGAAUUAUUAGGAAGUAACUAGAAUAUGUAGUGUAGCGGUGAAAUGCUUAGAGAUUACAUGGAGUACCAAUUGCGAAGGCAGGUUACUACUAAUGGAUUGACGCUGAUGGACGAAAGCGUGGGUAGCGAACAGGAUUAGAUACCCUGGUAGUCCACGCCGUAAACGAUGGAUACUAGCUGUUGGGAGCAAUCUCAGUGGCUAAGCGAAAGUGAUAAGUAUCCCACCUGGGGAGUACGUUCGCAAGAAUG
rnacentral:rRNA from 1 species